AUGGACCUACCUGACGAGCUGCUCCACCUUCGUGGAAGGAGAGGCGGCGAGGCCGCGAUGGCGGCGGUGAUCGGCGACGACGACCUGCUCCGGGAGAUCCUGCUCCGCCUCGGCUUCCCGGCUUUCCUCGUCCAUGCCGCCCUAGUCUCCAAGCGAUGGCUCCGCGUCGCCACCGACACCGUCUUCCUCCGACGAUUCCGCGACCGUCACCCUCCCCGCAUCCUCGGCUUCUACGUCAACCACUGCUCCACCUUGCGCACGGUGUUCGUGAGCGUCUCGGAAGCCCGGGAGCUCCGCUAUGCCGUGAAUCGCGCCGGCUUCCACCACUGCAAUCAAUCUGUAAGAAUCGCCGACAGCCGGAACGGCCGCCUCCUCCUCAAGUCCCGGCCAUUUGGGUGCGGCGGAUACACCAUGUUCAGCCCGCUGUGCCCGGCAAGGGGGGUGCUCCCUAUCCGACUACCGCCGGAGCUAUUACACAUUGGCAGGUUAAGUCCGCUGGACUACAGUAGUCAAUGUCUCUACUUGUUAUUUAGGGACAACAACGACGGCAUAGUUUUAGUGUCUGUGCGUCUCAGCGGGCGAAAGUUAUCGGCCCGAGUGUAUGUCGGGCAAUCUGAUGCCUGGGGUGAAGCCAUCUUGGCUGAAGGAGAGCUCCCUGUGCCAUUAAAGUUUGUUCGCUCGAUGAUGAUUGUCAAUGACAAGCUCUACAUUGUGCUCGACAAUUGCUACAUUUGUGGGUUGGAUUUUGUUGCUCCACGUCUACGACUCUUUGUCGUCAAAGUCCCGGAUAAAGUCGGCGCGGACUUCAAGCUCUCGCAUGGAGAUGAUUCUGGGCUUUUUCUCAUCCACAGAGACAGGUUCCAUCUCAGCGUCUGGAACCACCAGAUGGACGACAACGGUGAAGACAGGUGGGAGCUGGUUGACAGGUUUGUUGUGCAUGCAGCACAGGACCGCCAUGAGAGAUUUCGGGUGUGUGCAGUCUCGGAAGAUGGUGGAUUUGUGUUCUUAUGUUUGUGGACAAGUAGAACUAUCAUUUCUGUUGACCUGAGAAGCAGGAAGGAGACGACAUAUGAGAUCAAGGUGCAGGGUAUAUAUUUUACAACUAUCUUUCCCCUUAUGACUAUCUGGCCUCCCACCUUUCCCACUUUGAAUGAUGAGGAUGAUCACGACGAAUAA
rnacentral:rRNA from 1 species